rnacentral:rRNA from 1 species
AUUGAACGCUGGCGGCAUGCCUUACACAUGCAAGUCGAACGGUAACAGGUCUUCGGGUGCUGACGAGUGGCGAACGGGUGAGUAAUACAUCGGAACGUGCCUAGUAGUGGGGGAUAACUACUCGAAAGAGUGGCUAAUACCGCAUGAGAUCUACGGAUGAAAGCAGGGGAUCGCAAGACCUUGUGCUACUAGCGCGGCCGAUGGCAGAUUAGGUAGUUGGUGGGAUAAAAGCUUACCAAGCAGACGAUCUGUAGCUGGUCUGAGAGGACGAUCAGCCACACUGAGACAGAGACACGGCCCAGACUCCUACGGGAGGCAGCAGUGGGGAAUUUUGGACAAUGGGCGCAAGCCUGAUCCAGCAAUGCCGCGUGCAGGAUGAAGGCCUUCGUGUUGUAAACUGCUUUUGUACGGAACGAAAAGCCCCGGGUUAAUACCCUGGGGUCAUGACGGUACCGUAAGAAUAAGCACCGGCUAACUACGUGCCAGCAGCCGCAGUAA